rnacentral:rRNA from 1 species
ACGAAGGCCGUUCGCGGCUGGACUAUUUAUUACCCUUGUCUUUUGCGCACUUGUUGUUUCCUGGGCGGGUUCGCUCGCCACCAGGACCACAAUAUAAACCUUUUUUAUGCAGUUGCAAUCAGCGUCAGUAUAACAAAUGUAAAUCAUUUACAACUUUCAACAACGGAUCUCUUGGUUCUGGCAUCGAUGAAGAACGCAGCGAAAUGCGAUACGUAGUGUGAAUUGCAGAAUUCAGUGAAUCAUCGAAUCUUUGAACGCACAUUGCGCCCUUUGGUAUUCCAAAGGGCAUGCCUGUUCGAGCGUCAUUUGUACCCUCAAGCUUUGCUUGGUGUUGGGCGUUUUUGUCUUUGGCCCGCCAAAGACUCGCCUUAAAAUGAUUGGCAGCCGGCCUACUGGUUUCGCAGCGCAGCACAUUUUUGCGCUUGCAAUCAGCAAAAGAGGACGGCAAUCCAUCAAGACUCCUUCUCACGUUUGACCUCGGAUCAGGUAGGGAUACCCGCUGAACUUAAGCAUAUCAAUAGGCCGGAGGAAA